GCUGGCGGCGUGCUUAACACAUGCAAGUCGAACGGAGUUAAGCGCUGGUCUGAUGCUGGCUUGCCAGUGGAUUUCCUUGCUUAACUUAGUGGCGGACGGGUGAGUAACGCGUGAGUAACCUGCCCCUCAGUGGGGAAUAACGCCCUGAAAAGAGCGCUAAUACCGCAUAAUAUAUAUUUGCCGCAUGACAGAUAUAUCAAAAGAUUUAUCGCUGAGGGAUGGACUCGCGUCCGAUUAGCUGGUUGGUGAGGUAACGGCUCACCAAGGCGACGAUCGGUAGCCGGACUGAGAGGUUGAACGGCCACAUUGGGACUGAGACACGGCCCAGACUCCUACGGGAGGCAGCAGUGGGGGAUAUUGCGCAAUGGGGGAAACCCUGACGCAGCAACGCCGCGUGGAGGAUGACGGUUUUCGGAUUGUAAACUCCUUUUAUGGGGGACGAAUCAAGACGGUACCCCAUGAAUAAGCUCCGGCUAACUACGUGCC
rnacentral:rRNA from 1 species